rnacentral:rRNA from 1 species
AUUGAACGCUGGCGGCAUGCCUUACACAUGCAAGUCGAACGGCAGCACGGGAGCAAUCCUGGUGGCGAGUGGCGAACGGGUGAGUAAAGUAUCGGAACGUGCCCAGUCGUGGGGGAUAACGUAGCGAAAGUUACGCUAAUACCGCAUACGAUCUAUGGAUGAAAGCGGGGGAUCGCAAGACCUCGCGCGAUUGGAGCGGCCGAUAUCCGAUUAGGUAGUUGGUAGGGUAAAGGCUCACCAAGCCGACGAUCUGUAGCUGGCCUGAGAGGACGACCAGCCACACUGGGACUGAGACACGGCCCAGACUCCUACGGGAGGCAGCAGUGGGGAAUUUUGGACAAUGGGCGCAAGCCUGAUCCAGCCAUGCCGCGUGCAGGAUGAAGGCCUUCGGGUUGUAAACUGCCUUUGUACGGAACGAAAAGGUUUGACUUAAUACGUUGGACUCAUGACGGUACCGUAAGAAUAAGCACCGGCUAACUACGUGCCAGCCGCCGCGGUAA